rnacentral:rRNA from 1 species
AUUGAACGCUAGCGGGAUGCUUUACACAUGCAAGUCGAACGAGUGGCGGACGGGUGAGUAAUAUAUCGGAACGUGCCCAGUAGCGGGGGAUAACUACCCGAAAGUGUGGCUAAUACCGCAUACCCUUGGAGCGGCCGAUAUGGGAUUAGCUAGUUGGUGGGGUAAAGGCUCACCAAGGCAACGAUCCGUAGCUGGUUUGAGAGGAUGACCAGCCACACUGGGACUGAGACACGGCCCAGACUCCUACGGGAGGCAGCAGUGGGGAAUUUUGGACAAGGGGGGAAACCCUGAUCCAGCCAUCCCGCGUGUAUGAGAAGGCCUUCGGGUUGUAAAGUACUUUUGGCAGAGAAGCGGUAUCUGCAGAAUAAGCACCGGCUAACUACGUGCCAGCAGCCGCGGUAAUUC